rnacentral:misc_RNA from 1 species
GAUGACGAACGUAGCGAAAUGCGAUAAGUAAUGUGAAUUGCAGAAUUCAGUGAAUCAUCGAAUCUUUGAACGCACAUUGCGCCCGCCAGUAUUCUGGCGGGCAUGCCUGUUCGAGCGUCAUUUCAACCAUCAAGCCCCAGGCUUGUGUUGGGGACCUGCGGCUGCCGCAGGCCCUGAAAACCAGUGGCGGGCUCGCUGUCACACCGGGCGUAGUAGAUUUUAUCUCGCUCAGGGCGUGCUGCGGGUUCCGGCCGUUAAAAAGCCUUUUUUACCCAAGGUUGACCUCGGAUCAGGUAGGAAGACCCGCUGAACUUAAGCAUAUCAAUAAGCGGAGGA